rnacentral:lncRNA from 1 species
UAGCCACAAGACAACGACGAUGCCUCAGGUCAAAGGACUACUUACAUUAUUCCAACUAUUAGAGUUACUUGCUUGACAUGUGAGUUGACCUCCAUGCAAGUACUCUCGUUUGAUUGUGUUCAGUGAACUCAUUCCCUUAAUGAGCACCUACAUACUUGUCUUAGUGUCACUACACAAAUGGGAUGAGACUUUCCAUUCUUCCAUUUGAAGUGGACACAGUAUGUACCGGUCUAAGCAUUGUCAGUGUCCCUCCGACAAUCCAAUGACCAGGAACCUUUUUGGACAUAAUGGUUAUGUGAAGAAGGUCUCUGUAGUCUAACAUCAUUAUAUUACUUCUUCAAUCGAUCCAUUGUCCAUGGAUUCAUUAAUAAGGACAUAUAUCGUUUAUUGAGAUAGUCCUAAUUAAUAUCUUUGCCAUUUGAUGUAUAAGAGUCAUCCAUACAUCGAUUCAUUUGUCCUGAAAGGUUUCUUCCAAAGAUUGACUUUCAGGGCAUAUUUCCAACAGGUAUGACCAUCCGCAUAUGGGCGCCUCGUCAAAAUCUCAUCAUGUUAAUGAAAACCAUGUGGAAAAAAUGUUUGAUCUAAAGGAAAAAUAGUACAUUAAGGUCAAGUGAGUAUACUUUAGGAUACUCCCAUUAAGUUUGACAAAACUCUCCCUGAGAACUACAAGCAUUGCAAAUAAGAUAGUUAUGCAUAUUAAUUCCUCGAACAAGUUUCAAGAAGCUUGACUUCAGCUGUGCUUUUGAAAAGAGGACAACAACUGUCAAGGGAUUGGAUCUAUUUUAUUUCAAUUUAUGGUGUUUUGUUGAUGUGAGGUAGAUGUAAUAAGUUUGGCGUUGACUUUUUGGAUCGUAGUUGAGAUUUAACGAUGGAUGAAAAACUGCAGAUGCUUCGAAUAUGCCCAAAGAAAUGGCCCUCAUGCGCACAUGUGGCUUUAUGCAUGGAGAUUAGCUCAGCAUGCCUUGAAGACUUUGCAACUAAGGUUUGUUAUGUGGACCUCUAAGAUAUUGUAAUGUUCAUAACGAUAAAGACAUAAAUUGUCUAGGAAAAUGCCUUGUGCUGGUCAGACAAGUAACCAAACUAACAAGGCAAAUAUCAUUUUGAAAACCAGAAGUGUGAUCUCUUUUGAGAUACUGUAGACAUCGAAGUCUCUUUCGUUUCAGGAAUUUUUCGUGUUUACAGAUACGUCCAGAUAGAAUAAGACAAAAUCCAUAGUAAAGGAAAAUGUCUUCAACACCGAUUCAGUGGUGGCAUGUAGGUGAGAGAGCAAUCGAGGAGAUGAUUCAUUUGUCCAUAUUUCUUCAUUUCCAGGGAGGUGAAUCCUUCAAACCUAGUAAUUUGUUGCGCUUUAGGUCAAGACAAAUGAUUAGCUAAUUGUCGGAGUAGUAGGUCGGCCUAAGUUUGCAUUAUACCUACUUUCGAGGAUUGCGAGGAUCACACUAUGAGUAGUUUGUCAUUUGAGGAUGGUUUUGCGACAUUAAUUAGUUAUGUCUUGUUGGAUUGUAGACUACUCUAGUACACAGUGCCAAAGUACGGCGAGUGACGUAAGCAUGAAUAACUCAAUUGACCUACAUGAUUAGCUAAAUGUUAGAUUACAUAUAAUCAUUUUAAAUUAAUCCAUGUGAUCGUGGUUAAUCGACGUUUUUUUGUUCAUGCAAAAAUAAAUUAAGAACCAUGCAUAAACUUAGAUUAAGUUUUGAAUUUUAACGGUUAUAUUUUGUAUGCAGACAAAUUCAAUAUUCAAAGGCUCCCAAGAGUUAGCCCUUUACUAGUAUCCACAUGAAUGAAAAUCCAAUUGGUGAAGCAUGAAGACGACAAUCUGCUGAGACCUUCUCCUCAAGUGGUGCGACGAUAAAGGGUGUAGGGUGGGGUGUUUUGUUUUUUUAUUUCUCUAAAUUAGAAAACAUGAUUCCCUUCUCUUUAAUUUAUGUUUGCAACUUGUGAAUUCUCACAUUAGGACUAAAGACCCCUUAAGCCUAUAUGGAGAACAAUUCCAUAAGGAAGUAGGAUUACAAAUUAAUUCUCCACCACACAUGUAUGCCACAGGCCAUGGUAGACCUAUUUGUGCUUGCCGCACUUCCCUUUGGCAUUGGGCUUUAUCUCGAUUCGCUCAUAUUUUGUUUAUUUAAUUAAUUUGGUAUUUCUAUUCAGGCUGAGCUUCCUUAUUUAAUUUUAGUUCAAAUAACUAACAACAAAUAAUAGUCUCAAACAAAUUAAUUAAAUAUGAAAUAGAACUAAAAUAGAACAUUAAUAUAAACAAUAAUCAGAAUUAAUCUAAUUUUACAUCAUUUGAAACCAUUUUAAUUCAACCUUAUAGGAAGAUCCACAAACCGAGUAGUAACAUCUAGCAAUGGUUUUUGUUACCCAGAUUAGUCAAAAUAUGUUUGAAUUCAUACAACACAUAUUUUAAACCUUAGUUAGGGUUACAAUGCAAUUCAAUUAUUAUGUUUACUAUCCUUUGCUCAUAUAUUUUAGAGCCUGGAACUUUUUCAAACUUUACAUAUGAAUAUGAUCAUCCUGAUAUAUCUCUUGCAAGUUGCUUUGGAUAAAAACUUCUGAAGAUAAAUCGUCAAGGGGCUUCACGAAUAUCUACCAUCAUGAUUACCUAAAAGGUGACAAAUUCCUUUUGUGAAUUCUAUUAAUGCACAUGAUCUUGAACCUCACACUAUAAGGCUAUGCUAUCAUAUGAGAGUUUUGAGGUGAAAAGCAAAGAUCAUAUUCAUAAAUAUGAGAUAACUAGUGAUGCCUCAGGUUUGAGAACUAGUUGCAUCCAUAACUAAGAAAUAUGAUACAAUUGACAAGUAGGUAAUUUUUCAUUUGUACACUCCUGUGGUUGGUCAAUGUUCAAUGAACUCAAUCUCGUAAAUGAGCACCUUUAUGUCUAUUACAUAUCACUACAUGCUUAGUCCAAGACUUACUAUUGAAUACAACAUACGGAUGUUCGAUAGUUCAUCCAGUCACCUCAGAAUUGGAACUUCUUUUCAAUCUUGCCCCCACAACUUAAGUUAUUCUUCGAGCUUAUCCUAAUCAAGAACAAACCUCCCUAAUCCGCUAUUAGGUUAUGUAUUCGAUUGCCAAAUGUUAUCACUUGUCAUUGUUGUCGAUAACUUGACAUUGGGUUAUCACAAAUAGCCAAUUACGUGUUGCCACAUGAAUUGCUUUUAUGGCAUACUGAUAGGAGCAUAUUUAUGUGACUUAAUUGGCUUGUUCUCGUGCAUUUACGUUGUGUUUCCUUAGUUAUUUUAGUGUUUAAAGUCACUUUUGUGUGUUUUCAGAUUCUAAGGACAAAGUAUGCAAGAAGAUGCAUUUUGGAGCCUUUUGGAGCAAAAUUGGGCUUGGAAUGAUUAUCACAUGCUUGGAGCAAAAGGAAUGAACGAAAUUGAAGAUUUGAAGAAGAAAGGAUUCUUAAUCAACGAAGGAUUCCUAAUUGAAGAUGGAUUCCUACUCAAAUGAGGAUUCCUAGAAGAAUGAGAAUUCCUACUCUAAGAAGGAUUCCUACUUGAAGUAGGAAAGUUAAGUCAAGGUUUCCUAUUUUCAUUUGACCUUUCCUUAAUCCUAAUUGUCCCUAUGUUCCAGCAACUUUGAAGGCCUUUUAAGCAUUCUAGGACACAAAUUACACAUUCCUUACAUGGUCCACUUCCUUGCCGCAUUUGUCCCACCUUUCCUCUUCCUUGUCGUGCAAGGGAGAGGGUUAUUUCCUAUUUCCUUGCAUUAAAACACAUUCCUAUUGUGUUUUGUCCCCUUGCCGCAUAUCUUAGCCAAUUUCCCUUAGUUUUCUGAUUUGAUUUCCUAUUUCUAGAAGCUUUUGACUUAAUUUCUGAUUACCUAAAUAACCUAGGGUUUUAAUUGAAGGGAAAAUUAUGAGUUUAACACAUGGGAUUUCUAAAUGACUAACAUGCAUAUACAAUUCAAAAUUUAUAUACAUGAGCAACGGAAGCAAUUUAUCAAAUAAUAUCAAAGCUAUAGUCAUGCAAAUCCCCUUCAAGGUUCAUAGGUUUAUAUAUAAUGCAUCUAAGACAUUUAAGUUAAGAAUAAAGUGAAGGUAUAGAUCUAUACCUCUUGAUCUUGAUUUUAGACCAAGGAUGGACCACCUCCAAGUCCUUUGCUCCUUGAAGUCCUUGAGCCUAGCCUCCCUCCUUGCCUCCUCCACUUUGUUAGUAAGAGUGCUCCAAGGUUCUCCUUUAGUCUCCAAAGGAGAAGACCUCUAAAUAUCCACACCCACUAGUGUAGUGAGAUGGAUGGAGGAAUAACCAAAAGGGUGAAAGAUUGUUAGCUAAAACACCCUCAAGGUGGCCUGCCUUUUGUGGUUUUAGAGAGAUGUUUCUUUUGCCUCUUUGUUGUUUUAAAACACACAAAAAACCCUAAGGAUUAAAUCUCUAUAAAGUUCCUUAUAUAGACAAAAAGAAACCUAGUCAACAACUUGACUAAAUAUCUCUCCCUCUCCACUUUAAAGGGC